rnacentral:rRNA from 1 species
AGAGUUUGAUCCUGGCUCAGGAUGAACGCUGGCGGCGUGCCUAACACAUGCAAGUCGAGCGAUUUACUUCGGUAAAGAGCGGCGGACGGGUGAGUAACGCGUGGGUAACCUGCCCUGUACACACGGAUAACAUACCGAGAGGUAUGCUAAUACGAGAUAAUAUACUUUUAUCGCAUGGUAGAAGUAUCAAAGCUUUUGCGGUACAGGAUGGACCCGCGUCUGAUUAGCUAGUUGGUAAGGUAACGGCUUACCAAGGCGACGAUCAGUAGCCGACCUGAGAGGGUGAUCGGCCACAUUGGAACUGAGACACGGUCCAAACUCCUACGGGAGGCAGCAGUGGGGAAUAUUGCACAAUGGGCGAAAGCCUGAUGCAGCAACGCCGCGUGAGCGAUGAAGGCCUUCGGGUCGUAAAGCUCUGUCCUCAAGGAAGAUAAUGACGGUACUUGAGGAGGAAGCCCCGGCUAACUACGUG